rnacentral:rRNA from 1 species
UACGGAGGGUGCAAGCGUUGUUCGGAAUGACUGGGCGUAAAGCGCACGUAGGCGGGUUUUUAAGUCGGAUGUGAAAUCCCCAGGCUUAACCUGGGACGCGCAUACGAAACUGGAAACCUUGAAUGCCCGAGAGGCCAGUGGAAUUCCAGGUGUAGGAGUGAAAUCCGUAGAUAUCUGGAGGAACACCAGAGGCGAAGGCGGCUGGCUGGUGGUGCAUUGACGCUGAGGUGCGAAAGCGUGGGUAGCAAACAGG